UUUUGAGAAACACAAAAGAGGAUCCGAUGUAAUACAAAAGGAGCAUGAUCCAUUUUAUUCCAGAGUAUUUCUUGUGGAUAAGUGGUGGAGGGCGGAGGCCACGGUACACAUGAUGUUCUUGGUCACCGACCAUCCUCUAGGUGUUGACCUGAAUAGCAUCGAUGGCCAAGGGUGCAGCGCAAAGAUGAUAGCGGCCGAUGGCGGUCUGACCUCCUGUAAUCAAG